UACGUAGGGCGCAAGCGUUGUCCGGAAUCAUUGGGCGUAAAGCGCGUGUAGGCGGCCGAGUAAGUCUGCUGUGAAAGUUCAGGGCUCAACCCUGAAUCGGCCGUCGAUACUCCCGGGCUUGAGCACUGUAGAGGCAGAUGGAAUUCCGGGUGUAGCGGUGGAAUGCGUAGAGAUCCGGAAGAACACCGGUGGCGAAGGCGGUCUGCUGGGCAGUUGCUGACACUGAUGCGCGACAGCGUGGGGAGCAAACAGG
rnacentral:rRNA from 1 species